rnacentral:rRNA from 1 species
UACGUAGGGGGCUAGCGUUGUCCGGAUUUAUUGGGCGUAAAGAGCGUGUAGGCGGCCAGGUAGGUCUGCUGUGAAAACUCGAGGCUCAACCUCGAGACGUCGGCGGAAACCAUCUGGCUAGAGUCCGGAAGAGGAGAGUGGAAUUCCUGGUGUAGCGGUGAAAUGCGCAGAUAUCAGGAAGAACACCCGUGGCGAAGGCGGCUCUCUGGGACGCAACUGACGCUGAGACGCGAAAGCGUGGGGAGCAAACAGG